GGUAGGUUCUAUAACUAAAUCACAACAGAAUAGUGCAGUGAAUGGCUUAUAAAAGACCAACGUUGAUAAUGUCCCGAGGCAGAUAUAUUAAUACAAUUAAUUGGAGUUAAUUUGUUAAUAUAUUUAUUUGUAGGAGGUCAAAGGUCAAUAUGAUCAUGCUUGCUACCAGGAACAACAAACAAUCCACAUUGUAUUUGUAUUAAGUAAAGACCAUAGAUUUGUAUGUGAUAUCUGUGGUGUCAGGGUUGCAGUGAUGACAUAAACGCAGGUCCUUUUCAUGAGCCCAGAACUUUCAAUGUACAUAUUUUAAUUUCUCCGGGGUUUGAAAUUUCCACGAGACCAGGACAGGAGUUGUAGUCCUCCACUUGUUCCUAUGCUUCUAUAACGGAGUCAGUUAUUGGCACUAUAAACUAUUAUAUAUACCAAAUAAUUUUUUGUCCAGUUUUUGUCCACAGGCCAUCCCAUUUAUCUUUAGUUAUGGUGCUAACAACCUAGACUACUGAGGGAACCAUGAUACACUGAGUACUCUGUCCUCCCCACUCUUCUAAGAAACACAUACACAUUAAUUACUGUUUGGACAAUGACCUUGUCUAGUUCUCGUUUGUCAUGUUCUUAUCUCGCCUUGUCACUGUUGUUUACUCCCAGCUGUGUCCAGCAUUUGAGUCCCUCAGUCCGGUCUUGUCGUCCAGUCUUUAUCCAGUCCUAAUCUUUUCUUUUCUGGACAGAUUGAUAAUAUCUUUUAUCUCUGCUGCUUAGACUCAUUCUAUUUUCCAAUUAUUUUUAACAAAACAGUGAGACAAGUUGACCGUACAGAGGAACAAGUGAUAUAUCAUCAGCAAAGUCUCUGUGUGGGUUGAGGAAGCGGUUAAAAUGCCACUGGCACACCAUGAGACAUAAAGGCAGCAUAAAGAGAGCACAGAUUCCUGCCAUGAUGUAGGCAAUUACCAUGAGCGUGGACUCAUCUGUCUGAGGUACAAAGAGAUGACUGGAAAGAUGUGCCAGGGUGUCGUGCCCGCCUGCCAACAUACGAGCUGCUCUCCCAGCCAGAAUCCAGUGGGAAACUGCUCUGUCUAGAAAGAAGAGCCGAUGGUCUUCCACCGACACUAGCCAUUGGUCAAGAGUGUUCAUGGAGUGAACUAGUCAUUUUCCUGAUCUGCAAAUUUGUUUUGGCACAAGUUUUAACCCUUGCUGAUGAAACCCUUGUCCAGACCUUGGACCUACCACGAGGAGGAGUUCAGUGGCUGGGCUUUGAUUUUUUUUUUGAUCUUUGAGUUGACACAGGUUUGAAAAAACACGACUUUAAUUUUACAUUUAAUAUUUAAAUGAAGUAUAACAUUUCCCCUUAAAGGCUCUAGUUUAACAGCAACAAUAAUUUGCUGCCAUAGGACAUAAAGAGAAUCAAUGUUUUCCAAAUGACUAAGUUUAGCUGUGACUUGACUUCAUGUGAAAGAU